rnacentral:snoRNA from 1 species
ACACAUUAAAAAGUAUCAAGAAAUAGAAGAAGAUUUGCUACCCAGAGCCAGAAUGACCUCAGUUUACUGUCCACUGUUCAGUGUGGGGUGGGGAAACUGAGGUCCAGACACAC